rnacentral:rRNA from 1 species
CUACGGGCCGCUGCAGUAAGGAAUAUUGCGCAAUGGAGGCAACUCUGACGCAGCCAUGCCGCGUGCAGGAAGAAGGCCUUAUGGGUCGUAAACUGCUUUUAUUUAGGAAUAAACCCCCGAACGUGUUCGGGGCUGAAGGUACUAAACGAAUAAGCACCGGCUAACUCCGUGCCAGCAUGCCGCGGUAAUACGGAGGGUGCAAGCGUUAUCCGGAUUUAUUGGGUUUAAAGGGUGCGCAGGCGGGCUAUUAAGUCAGUGGUGAAAUCCCGGGGCUCAACUCCGGAACUGCCAUUGAUACUGAUAGUCUCGAGUUUGGUUGAAGUGGGCGGAAUGUAGCAUGUAGCGGUGAAAUGCAUAGAUAUGCUACUGAACACCAAUCGCGAAGGCAGCUCACUAAGCCAAAACUGACGCUCAUGCACGAAAGCGUGGGGAUCAAACAGGAUUAGAUACCCCAGUAGUC